rnacentral:misc_RNA from 1 species
CUGAAGUGAUUUGGGGAUGUUGCUGGCCUCCCGGGGCACGUGCACGCCCGAGCCCUUAAUCCACACACACCUGUGAACCUAUUGUAAGGGCCCGUGAAAAGGCCUUUACGUUUUAUCAUCAACCCACUGUAUGUCUCAUAGAAUGUAAAUCUAUAUCCUCGCCCUAAAAAGCGUUGAUAAAACUUAUA